rnacentral:rRNA from 1 species
AGCUCCAAUAGCGUAUAUUAAAGUUGCUGCAGUUAAAAAGCUCGUAGUUGGAUAUCAGUGCGUGUCCGGUCCGGUAUGCCUGGCGCUGUCGCUCACGCGGCAAUGCUGGGCUCCCAAAUAUCGGCUGGCCGCAUUCAAUCGUGCCGGAUCCGUCGGCGGGCCGUUCUUCGGAGGGGCCUGUUGGCGGCCGGCGACGUUACCUUGAACAAAUUAGAGUGCUCAAAGCAGGCUCUGAAUGCCUGUAUACAUAUUCAUGGAAUUGGAGAAUACGUCCCUGGCUCGAUUUGGUUGGUUUUGAGAGUCGAAGGGAAAUGAUUAAUAGGGACUGACGGAGGCAUUCGUAUUGCGACGCGAGGGGUGAAAUCCUGUGACCGUCGCACGACGAACUACUGCGAAAGCAUUUGCCGAGAAUGUUUUCA